AGCGUUGUCCGGAUUUAUUGGGCGUAAAGAGCGUGUAGGCGGCCAGGUAGGUCUGGUGUGAAAACUCGAGGCUUAACCUCGAGAUGUCAUCGGAAACCAUCUGGCUAGAGUCCGGAAGAGGAGAGUGGAAUUCCUGGUGUAGCGGUGAAAUGCGCAGAUAUCAGGAAGAACACCAAUGGCGAAAGCAGCUCUCUGGGACGGUACUGACGCUGAGACGCGAAAGCGUGGGGAGCGAACAGG
rnacentral:rRNA from 1 species